rnacentral:lncRNA from 1 species
UUGCACUAUUGCACUAUUGCCUGGACAACAGAGCAAGACCCCAUUUCAAAAAAAACAAACCUAGAAAAGAAAGCUAUUCUAAAUUGAAGUAACCAAGGAGCAGAGCCAUAAUCCACAGAGAGAGACACAGGUUCAACAGAGGCUGUGGAAAAGCAAUUCCAAGCAACUUCUCAUAUUCCAGGAACGCAACUGAGGCCUGGGGAGCCAAAAGGCUGCUCUCAGAGGCAGGCACAUUCCAGGUGUCACCUUAGGAUUCCACUCGGGACCAUGAUGGCCCUGGGAGGGAGGGGAAUGGGCUUUGCAGACUUAGACUUGACUGCAUGACAUCUACAUCUUCAAUGUUAUUCUACACUGUUUAAUCGGUGUAAUAAAUGGAACUUCCAAUAUUACAAUAUUCUAACAUUCUUCGAAUAUUACAAUAUUCUAACAUUCUUCGAAUAUUACAAUAUUCUAACAUUCUUCGAAUAUUACAAUAUUCUAACAUUCUAAGUUCCAUUAUUUUGCCAAUUAAAAAAACUGUGUGUUAAGAGUGCUUUUGUAUUUCAGGGGUUCCUGAGGACACUGAGAAAGGGAAAUAUAUCAUAUGGCAAUAUUCCAUAAAAUAAAUUACCUGGAGACAGUAUAAAAAUUUGCAAGGAUACAGACACAAGGCAUGUAAUUAUUAUAAAUAUAUAAAGAAUGUAUGACUACUUUUAGAUAUAAUCACCUAAUAAAUUUCAAGAUUGCCUUAUUAACUAUCUAUUUGUGUUUGUAUACAUUGUAUCAUUUAAAAAUAGAUAUGAAAUAGUACUUAACAAUAAAAGGUUUGUAAUAAGGUUUUUGGAAUCAGAAUAAAGAAAAACUUUUGUCCUACUGAGGAUAAGUUGUUCAAUACAGUGAAGUCACAUGCACAUGUCUUGCUUUGGAUUUACUUUCUCCCAGUUCUUACAAUAUCACCAAAUAACAAAAAUUUCUACUUACGACUUUACUUUCCUAUACGUUGUCAGUUGAAUUAUUUUUCUGUAUAUUUCCACAAUGUGAUAAAUAUUUUUCAGGUUUAGGAAAAAGUCAUUUAAAGCUGUUAAAAUUUAAAAAGAAAUCUAUUCAUAGCAUAUACUUAGUCUAAUUGCCUUAAGACUCUUCUGGGACAUGUAGCAAUGUAAAAUGGUGGAUGGAUAGCGGUGUACGUCUUUUCAGCAGGAUAGUCUUGCAGGAUGGUGGUAAAAAAUAGGCAAAGAGACAUACACCAAAUUUUUUUUUAUGAAGAAGCAGCUGCAGAUUUAUUGCUUUUAAAUAUGUAAAUUUUAAUUAAAUCACAUGUACAAAGAUAGUAUAUAUUUUUGCAUUCUUCUCCUGGCCAUGGACAAUAGAACUCUACAUUCUCCAGCCUUUGGACUCUGGGACUGGCACCAGUGGCCCCGCAGGUUCACAGGCCUUUGGUCUGAGACCCAGAGUUACACCAUCAGCUUCCCUGGUUCUCAGGCCUCCAGACUUGGACUGAGCCGUGCUAACAGACUUCCUGGUUCUCUAGCCUGCAAAUGGCCUAUUGUGGGACUUCACAGUCUCCAUAAUUGUGUGAGCCAAUUCCUCUAAUAAAUUCCUUCUCAUAUGUCUAUAUCCUGUUGGUUGUGACUCUCUGGAGAACCAACAGGAUUCUGACUAAUAAUAUAUUUGUAACUUGCAAUUUAAUUUGGUUGAAAGAUAGUCAUUGCAGAUUUGUAAUAGCUGGGAAUUUAAAAUAAUCUAAUGUCCAUUCACAGGCUAAUUAUAGAACCAUAUAUACCUCACAAUCUCAUUUUUAUAAAAAUCAUGUAGUUUUAUAAACAGAAAUAACUGAAAAGCUAUUUGUCAAUCUGUUAAUGAUGUCACUAUAGAGUGGGACUGUGGGAGACGUGCUUUUCUGCCAGUGUAUUUUUCAAUUAUUUGAAUCUUUUACAAAGUUUUAUACUACUUUUAUAAUCAAUAGAAAUCGUGCACAUACUCAUUUUGGGAACUUCAAUUGCCUUGACUACUUUCUGAAUAGGAAAUAAUAAAAAGCAAAUAGUUCAUUCUUAUGUGUAGAACUGGGUAGUGCAUGGCAGUAAUCAAAACAAUCCAAAGGCAAAAUGACAUAUGUCAAAGACUGGUGCUUAUCUUGAGUGGUGGAAUGAUAGGUGAAUUUUAUUAUUAAUAUUUUUGCUUUGUGCUUUUCUGUGUUUUCCCAGUAUUCUGUAUCAAGCACGUAAUGCUUUUGCAAUUAGCUGGAAAGCUAGAGUGUAAAUGUUGCAGAUGCAAGCAGAAAAUGAGAAAGCUUUCAAAUAAGACUACCCUCUUCUCUGUGCUAACCUCUCUUAACCAGGGCUAUAUCCUCCAAAAAUAUAAAAGCAUUAACUUGACCUUCAGCAGCCCUUGUUGUACAGUUACACUUUUUCUAGCUCCUACCUGCUAAAAUAAUCUUUCAGCCCACAAUGAGAGAUUAGGACCUCAGGUAAACAGACCUGGCUGGGUCUGAUUCAGGAAGAAUCCAGGAACCCGCUUUGCUUAAUAAGUCACCAUGGUAUGGCUGUUAGAGUGAGGCUGUAUUGUGCUUUGCUGGCAAUUGCCGGCUAAUUGAGCCUCACCUUUUUUUUUUUUUUUUUUUUUUUUUUUUUUUUUUUUUUUUGAGACAGAGUCUCAUUUACUCUGUCACCCAGGCUGGAGUCUGGAGUGCAGUCGUGUGAUCUUGGCUCACUGCAACCUUCUCCUCCUGGGUUCAAGCGAUUGUCCUUCCUCAGCUGCCUGAGUAGCUGGGACUACAGGUGUGCAUCACCACACCAGGCUAAUUUUUAUAUUUUUAGUAGAGACGGGGUUUCACCAUAUUGUCCAGGCUGGUCUCAAACUCCUGACCUCAAGUGAUCCACCCACCUUGGCCUCCCAAAGUGCUGGGAUUACAGGCGUGAGGCAUCGCACCUAUCCUUAACUGUAAUCUUAAAGAGAGAAACCAGGAAAGACAAUUCUCAAACGGAACUUAAACUCUCAUCCCCUCCAUGGGUUUGUCAGUGUGGCCAGUACAAAGGGUGGUUGGUCAGUCAGAGCCAGUACGAAGGUGAUUAGUCAAAACGAUUUUCUGAGUGAUUGUCUGAGAGAAUGACCAAGCCACCUCCAAGGCUACGAUCCUACUUGGGGAUCAAGAGUUAAGCGCCAUGGAAGCCCAAGCUGCAGUGUGCACUGUUUGCCAUGUCUACGGGAGCAGGCACCAUUCAUAUAUGUGUUAAAAGCAAGCUGGUCACUGUGCUAAAGCUGACGGCUCUCGUGUUUGAGGAACACAUAUCUCAUGACUUACACAAGUGGAAAAAAAAAAGAAAAAAGAGUUCCUCAGUAGAAGACAAAAGGAAGUGCUGUAAGUUCAAGUCAAUGAGGAAAAGGAGACUGGAAGUUAGUGUUCAGAAGAGGGUGGUGAUGAGGAGAAGUCUUCUCUUAGGGAGUAAGUCUGAGCUUCCCUGAUCUGUGUAGGUGGUGCCUUGAGGCACUGAGGGGGAUCAGAAUGAUUCCUUCUCCUGGGCAGUGUUGGUGAGAGAUGCCUAAAGGUAGAGAGAGAAGCAGCCUCUUGAAAAUUGGUGUACCCAGGCAGAAAAUUCUUGUUCCUCUAUGUCAGUGAUUCCCCCACCCCCACCCCAGCAUUUAAUUUUGAAAACUUCAAAUAUACAGAAGGUUAAAAAAAAAUUGUGGUAAACUGUCAUAUACUCACCAUCUAGGUCCUACCAUUAACAUUUUAGUGUGUGUGUGUGUGUGUGUGUGUGUAAAAAUCUCCAACCCCCAUCCAUCUUAUUUUUUAUGCAUUUCAAAGUAGGUUUUCACAUUGAAUACAUAUGGACACAGAAGGAACAACAGACACAGGGACCUGCUUGAUGCUGGAGGGAGGAGGGUGAAGACAGAAAAACUACCUGUCGGGUAACUGUGCUUAUUACCUGGGUGGCAAAAUAAUCUAUACACCAAACCCCCAUGACAUGCAAUUUACCUUUAUUACAAACCUGCACAUUAUUCCUCAACCUAAAAUAAAAGAUUUAGGAAAAAAAAGAAAAUAGAAGGUUGCCAUGGGGAGGAGAAAACAAGGAGUUGUUAACAGGCAUGAAAUUGUAGUUUAGAAGAUGAAAAUGUUCCAGAGAUAUGUGGUGAUGGCUGCACAACAAUAUGAAUGUACUUAAUACCACUGAACUGUACAUUUAAAAAUGAUUAAUAUAGUAAAUUCUGUUAUAUUUUACAAUAAAAAAGUUAAAAACAAAAACAAAAGUAGGUUUUAGACAUCAGUGUUUUUCUUAAAUAGUUCAGUAUGUACAUCAUAGAGUUGAAUAUUGAUUUACUUUUUUCUUUUAAGGUAAAAUUUUCUUUUUUUCUUUUUUCUUUUUUUUUUUUUUUGAGACGGAGUCCUGCUCUUUAGCCCGGGCCGGAUUGCAGUGGCACAAUCUCGGCUCACU